UUAGAAAAGAACUUUUUGACUGCUGCUUAGCUGCUCAGUGAGCGGUUAUAAUACUGAAUGCACCUAUUAACAUGAUCGUAUUUGCUUAUUAACGGGAAAUAUGAUUUUAUAAAAUUGACAAUGUACAUGAUUCGUAUUCGAUCCAUCUAGAUUCAAAAUUUUCGAAUCAUAGAAAUUUAAUUUUGAAAUGUUCGCACAUCGAUCUCCAUCUGAAAACAUACAUUUUAAUAUGAUUUCGCAGAAAUAUGGAAAUGAUUAUAUUAUGUAGAUAUAGGUAUUGAAAUUAUUAUAUCGUAUUGAUGAUCUAUUUGAUAUAUGCAGAGAUGCGAAAGAGGAGAUGUAAGAGAGAUAUGGAAAUAUGGAUGCGCACAGAGAGAUGUCAGAAUAUUCAAAUACAAUAUCAAGCUGCAGACACGGAGAAUCCCUUCUCGGGUAACGUACGCGUCUACCAGGUAGAAAUUCCGCGGCGGCAUAAAGAGAGACUCGCGUCUCCCGGACGCGCUUGUUCGUAAUUACGAAAAUGCGUGUACGUGCGUACGGGACGCGGCACGUUCCAGGUCGCGGAGUUCGGCGGCGAACGAGGAAAAGAAGGAAGAGGAGGAGAGAACGCGCGCGCGCGAGGUGGUUGCGACUUGCGGCCCGCGGGGAGGAGAAAGAAAGUAUCCGAUGAGGAAGAGUCGACGAGCGGAAUAUCAAGCGAACGGCCCGUGUAAUUCGGUUCCGUACGAUCGAAUUCACCAGCUCCUGGGCCGACGCGGCGACGGGGAGCGGCCGGGCGCGCCAAAUCUCUCGCAAAAUCUCGUUAGAGAGACAAAAGAGUCGCAGGAAAUAAAAUCCUACCGGAUUUCAGCAACCGCGUGCGCGGCAUAACGGCCACGUAUUGUGCAAGCGGCGUCUCUCUGUAAGUGUUCCUCGGUUCAUAAUACCUCUCCCCUGCCGAGGGGGCGACACGUUGGCACAUUUAGAAGAGAGAAAGAAAACGCGGUCCGUGGCGAGCGAAUUUUUCAUCUUCGAGCUUAAAAAUGGGAUUUUCGAGAACAAAGUUUGCCAGAAAAUUUAUAAUAAAUCUUUUUACGUAAGACGAGGUUGAAGGAGAAGGAGCGUUCAAUCACAGUGUGUUUGCUGAGAAGAUAACGCGAUCGACGCUAACAAUAAGUGUCACUAGAUAGAAAAUGACACGGGAUGCGUUCUGUAUACGAGGAAUAAAACGAAUGAUAUUUUCUAAUACAAGUUUCCGAGGCCGUCGGUUCUCGCAGAUUCAACUUUGUUAGCGGGGUCGAGCGAAAUUUAUAUUUCUCUGCCGUGCGAACGCGCAACGAAAGUUAUACAUCAUCAUGGCGCAUGAAGAACGUUUAAUCUCCGUGAUUCAGCUCGUUAGAGGCGGAUUGCCCGUUAGACGCGGCUGAGCUGUCGGCUGCUGUUUAAAGCCGGUUCUACAAUAAGUCACAAAUGAUGGCAAGUUGCUAGUUGAAAAGUGUUAAUUUUGAUUGCCGAUUGCCACAGUUACUGUCGCCAAAAAAGUUAAAAGUUCGCCAACUCUCUUUUGACAACCGCAAUUGACAAGCGCGACAUGGAAAUAACACUUUUCAACUAGCAGUUGCUAUCGUUUGCAAAGUAUUGUAGAACCGGCUUAAUAGUUAAAAAUGAGUUGCGUAACUCCGUUGCGGGUUGGGGAGGACCUUCGUUGCGAUUUGCGCGAGCGCGGGCGAAGCGCGUCGUUUAGCAUCGGGAGGUCCUCGCGAAACGGACAGCUUGCAAGCACGUACCGGUCUCGGCGCCGGAGGAUCGAUGCACGUGCUCGUAAAAUCCGACCGUGUCGCAAAGUGUUUGCUUUGCUCGCAGUGCGCCGCACCAGGUUUGCGACACGCGACGGCAGGCACCUGCCGCCGGGAAGAAGAACGGCGAGGCCGCAAAACGGAAGAUCAAGGAGAUUUAAGGACCGCCCGAAGGAACGUCGCAUACGCUGAAUCUCUUAAACGCGUAAAUUAAUCUAACGUAAAGAGAGGACGAUUCCUUCCAUCCUUUCGCGAAUAAUCGGCGCCAUGACGAUAACGGACGUUCCUAUAGUCACCCGAAGAUAUAACAGCGACGAUCGGGUGUCUAGCUACAUGCGCAAGAGACGACGUGCACCUGACAUACACGAGGAACACUUAUGGGAACCCGAAGUGAGGGAUUUGUCGGAUCAUCCUGUAGCUCGCUCUGCAAUUCAAUCGUAUGUGAAUCAGCUGUGAGAGCGGCAUGUGCACGUGCGAGUUCACGGGGAACGUGACAGCAAGGUGCACCAGUUCAAGGAGAUGCAACGUCGACGACGCGACGUUCGAGGGAAAUUUCCUUUCUCCCGCGUUCUCGCGUGUAUACGGAAACGAAGAACUGCAUAUCAACGCCGAUUCUCCACGACGUGAGGCUCGUAAAAAUAGUAACGUCGGUGUGCCGAGCUGCCGAGGAGCCGAGCAUAACCGCGGCUCGACCUUUCGCAUACGCGCGGCUAUUUUCUAUUCCAUUGUAUCGUCGAAAUAUUAAUAUCGCGACACUUAAUGAGUAUUUUAUCGCGCGCGUGUAUUUCAGUAGCUAUCACAUUAUAAUCGCAAAUACCGGGCGCUUUAUUUUUCGCGAGACAGAAGAGUAUUAUUCAAUUAUGCAAAAAAAACUUUGUAAAUAUUUUUUAUGUAAUAUAAAUGCUAAGCGUUGACGUCACUGUAAUAUUUUGCGAGAGAUAUUACGUAUGCAUGUAAAAUGUGUAAUAUAAAAAAUAUUUUUAUUUUUAUGAUUACUAAAAAUAAUAUAAUUAAAACUAAGCGAAUAAGCUCGUUGCAGUCAUCGCGGAAUCUGCUAGGACAUCGCAUUUAACUUUUUUAUUAUAAUUGUUAUAUUAAAUCACUAAUAUCUUUCUCUUUCUUUCUCUACAUUAACAAUUAAAAUUAUUAUUAUUAUUUAAAAUUAUUAAUAAUCUUUUACAAUAUCUUCACUUGCCUUGAGAAUAAAGAGAAGACUCAAAGGAGUCUUCAGUUGAUCGAUGAUGAAAGAGGCUAAAAAUUGAUCGUUACCUUCUUACAGUAACAAAUUAACAAUUCCAUUUAAUUUUAACGCUCGGCUAUCACAUUUCCCUUGCGCGCGACCUUUGCGCGGGAUUAUCAAUCAUAUCUACGACUUUCGGCGAGAACGACAAACGCGUGCCGGCAAUCUCACCGAGCGAUUACGGAACCCGCGUGAAUGCGCGACGGACGUGGUAACCGUGAAAUCUCAAGCGGACGACCGUAAUUAUGACUUUCCUCUCGACGCGGGAAUAUCGCAAUGUCACUGGCGACAAUCUCCGCUUGCGAAUCCACGUGCGUGGCCGUGCGUCGUACGCGCGACGCGACGUGCGUAUAUAUCUUUUAUUCGACUGUACAUAUAGCAUUUACCUUACGUCAAACGAGAAAUGUUGAAGCUGAUAUUUCUUGAAUAUCCAUAUUUGGUAUCGAGACUAAUUGCUAGAAGAUAAAUAUAUAGAUAAAUAUUAAUAAGCGCCAAUAAAUUAAGUAGCAAUUUUGAUUUUUAAG